CGAGAGUUUGUAACACCCGAAGCCGGUGGAGUAACCUUUUAGGAGCUAGCCGUCGAAGGUGGGACAAAUGAUUGGGGUGAAGUCGUAACAAGGUAGCCGUAUCGGAAGGUGCGGCUGGAUCACCUCCUUUCUAAGGA
rnacentral:rRNA from 1 species